GAUGAACGCUGGCGGCGUGCCUAAUACAUGCAAGUCGAGCGAACGGACGAGAAGCUUGCUUCUCUGAUGUUAGCGGCGGACGGGUGAGUAACACGUGGAUAACCUACCUAUAAGACUGGGAUAACUUCGGGAAACCGGUGCUAAUACCGGAUGAUAUUUUGAACCGCAUGGUUCAAAAGUGAAAGACGGUCUUGCUGUCCCUUAUAGCUGGAUCCGCGCUGCAUUAGCUAGUUGGUAAGGUAACGGCUUACCAAGGCGACGAUGCGUAGCCGGCCUGAGAGGAUGAUCAGCCACACUGGAACUGAGACACGGUCCAGACUCCUACGGGAGGCAGCAGUGGGGAAUAUUGCGCAAUGGGCGCAAGCCUGAUGGAGCAACGCCGCGUGAGUGAUGAAGGUCUUCGGAUCGUAAAGCUCUUUUGUUAGGAAAGAACAGCUGUAGAAUAAUAUGUGCAUGUUUUGACGGUACCCAAUCAGUAAGCAACGGCUAACUUCGUG
rnacentral:rRNA from 1 species